GACGAACGCUGGCGGCGUGCUUAACACAUGCAAGUCGAGCGGUAAGGCCCUUCGGGUACACGAGCGGCGAACGGGUGAGUAACACGUGGGUGACCUGCCCUUAGCUCUGGGAUAAGCCUGGGAAACUGGGUCUAAUACCGGAUAUGACCUCAUGACGCAUGUUGUGGGGUGGAAAGCCUUGUGCGGCUAGGGAUGGGCCCGCGGCCUAUCAGCUUGUUGGUGGGGUGAUGGCCACCAAGGCGACGACGGGUAGCCGGCCUGAGAGGGCGACCGGCCACACUGGGACUGAGACACGGCCCAGACUCCUACGGGAGGCAGCAGUGGGGAAUCUUGCGCAAUGGGCGAAAGCUUGACGCAGCGACGCCGCGUGAGGGAUGACGGCCU
rnacentral:rRNA from 1 species